GGACAGUCAUGGUAGGCGCUGGCCUGCAGAGCGGGGCUGAGGGUCGGGAACUUCCUGCUAGCUGAGGGCGGGUGUCGAAGCUCCUUUCUAUGAUCUGCGCCUUUGCUAGGACUGCCGAAUAUGUCUCGAGCUCCAUCACCAAUAAGUGCUGUCUGAUCGCCGGGCGAAGACCCCACUGGAAUUUCCUGGCCUUUCGGCCCUCA
rnacentral:lncRNA from 1 species